rnacentral:rRNA from 1 species
CUACGUGCCAGCAGCCGCGGUAAUACGGAAGGUCCGGGCGUUAUCCGGAUUUAUUGGGUUUAAAGGGAGCGUAGGCUGGAGAUUAAGUGUGUUGUGAAAUGUAGACGCUCAACGUCUGACUUGCAGCGCAUACUGGUUUCCUUGAGUACGCACAACGUUGGCGGAAUUCGUCGUGUAGCGGUGAAAUGCUUAGAUAUGACGAAGAACUCCGAUUGCGAAGGCAGCAUACGGGAGUGUAACUGACGCUUAAGCUCGAAGGUGCGGGUAUCGAACAGGAUUAGAUACCCUGGUAGUCCGCACAGUAAACGAUGGAUGCCCGCUGUUAGCGCCUGGCGUUAGCGGCUAAGCGAAAGCAUUAAGCAUCCCACCUGGGGAGUACGCCGGCAACGGUGAAACUCAAAGGAAUUGACGGGGGCCCGCACAAGCGGAGGAACAUGUGGUUUAAUUCGAUGAUACGCGAGGAACCUUACCCGGGCUUGAAUUGCAGAGGAAUUAUUUAGAGAUA